rnacentral:rRNA from 1 species
CGGGUGACGGGGAAUCAGGGUCCGAUUCCGGAGAGGGAGCCUGAGAAAUGGCUACCACUUCUACGGAAGGCAGCAGGCGCGCAAAUUACUCAAUCCCAAUACGGGGAAGUAGUGACAAAAAAUACUAAUGCCUUUCCAUUUAUAUGGGGGGCAAUUGGAAUAAGUACAACUUAAAUCGCUUAGCAAAAGUGAUUGGAGGGCAAGUCUGGUGCCAGCAGCCGCGGUAAUUCCAGCUCCAAUAGCGUAUACUAAAUUUGUUGCAGUUAAAAAGCUCGUAGUUGAGAUUGAGAUUUCUUAGGUUUAGAGUCGCUUGGCCUUCGGGUUUGAGUUUGAUUCGUAAAGCUUUAUAGUAGAAUUCCAUUUUAUUAUUAAAGUUACUAAGAAAUUUCUAUCUGCCCAUGGUAGCUAGCAAUAGUUAUCAAUCGGGUGAUCUACUGUGAGAAAAUUGUAGUGUUCAAAGCAGGCGUCUUACGUUUGUUCAAUGCAGCAUGGUAUAGUAAAAUAUGACACUAAAUAUAUGUUGGUUGUAUAUUCUUAGUGUAAUGACUAAUAGGGAAGGGCGGGGCCGU